CUUGCAAACGGUACUAGGUGCUUCUAAGCUUAUUGAGACACUACAAACUGUGCUAAGCUUAUUGGACACUACAAACUGUGCUAAGAAGAUGUGUCGGCAAUCGGCUGUUCGGUUCAACUGAUAAUAUUAUUCUAACUGGAGAAUUUGCUGUCACCCAUUUAAAGAAAGCCAUAUCAUACUUCCAUGAUCAUUUUGAUUACUUGAAAAACAGUUGCUGCCAAUGUCGGCACUAUUAAGAAUACAAGUGUCUGCAAACACUUUUGUAUGUUGGGUCUUGGGCCGUCUUUGUAUUACACUUGUAUUAGACAUUGUAUGAUUACCUGCUAUAAACCAACAUCAUGCAGUGGCAUCCAAACACAUGAACCUCUCGCAUCAAACCAACCUGAGGCAGUCAUCCUGCUUCGAUUGUCAAGAAACAGGGUACCAUCCUAAUGAUCGUCCUUCACAUCGACACUCCAUGAACGCCCAACAUACAUUUUCUCCGACCACUCUCCCCAACCAACAUUUUCUCAACAGAAUAUAUAACAGAACCUUUUCAACCACCUGCUAACCGAAUAAACCUUUU
rnacentral:lncRNA from 1 species